rnacentral:rRNA from 1 species
GUUCGGAUUGCAGGCUGCAACCCGCCUGCAUGAAGUUGGAAUCGCUAGUAAUCGCGGAUCAGCAUGCCGCGGUGAAUACGUUCCCGGGCCUUGUACACACCGCCCGUCACACCAUGAGAGUCGGGAACACCCGAAGUCCGUAGCCUGACCGCGAAGGGGGGCGCGGCCGAAGGUGGGUUCGAUAAUUGGGGUGAAGUCGUAACAAGGUAAC